AUAAAGUUUAUUCUAGCUUUAAUAUUUAAAUUUAUUAAAAUUAAUAUAUUAAUUAUUGUUUAUUUAUUAAAAAUUUUAAAAUAUUUUAAAUAUUAAAAAAUAAUGAUUAAUAUUAAAAAUUAAAGUAAUUUAGAUUUAGUAAAAUAAAAUAAAUUAAUAAAAUUUGUGCCAGCAAUUGCGGUUAUACAAAUAAUUUAUAAAUAUUUAUUUUAUUUUAAUUAAUAAGUAAUAAUUAGUUAAAUAAAAAUUUAAAUUUUAAAGGUGAAAUUUUAAAUUUAAUUUAAUAUUUAAUUAUUAAUUUUUAUGAAUAUUAAUAAAAAUAUAUAAAAAACUAGAAUUAGAUACUCUAUUAUUUUAUUUAAAUAUUUAUAUAAAUAGUAGUAUUAGUUAUAUUCUUUAAAUUUAAAGAAAUUGGCAGUAUUUUAAUCUAUUUAGAGGAAUUUGUUAAUUAAUUGAUAAUACACGAAUAAUUUUACUUAAUUUAAUUUAAUUAGUAUAUCGUUGUUAUAUAAAUUUAUUUAAAAAUAAAAAAUUUUAAUAUUUUAAUAAAAAAUUAUAUCAAAUCAUGAUGCUAUUUAUAAUUAAGUUUUAAAUGAAUUAUAAUAAAUUUAUUUUUGGAUUAUUUAAUGAAAUAUUUUAUAAAAAAUUAGAUUUAAAUGUAAUUUAAAAUUAAUUUUUUUAAAUGAUUUGAGUUUUAAAAUAUGUACAUAUUGCCCGUCACUUUCAUUUUUAAAUUGAAAUAAGUCGUAACAAAGUAGAAUUACUGGAAAGUGUUUCUAGAAAUAU
rnacentral:ncRNA from 1 species